UACGAAGGGGGCUAGCGUUGCUCGGAAUCACUGGGCGUAAAGGGUGCGUAGGCGGGUCUUUAAGUCAGGGGUGAAAUCCUGGAGCUCAACUCCAGAACUGCCUUUGAUACUGGGGAUCUUGAGUCCGGAAGAGGUGAGUGGAACUCCGAGUGUAGAGGUGAAAUUCGUAGAUAUUCGGAAGAACACCAGUGGCGAAGGCGGCUCACUGGUCCGGUACUGACGCUGAGGUGCGAAAGCGUGGGGAGCAAACAGG
rnacentral:rRNA from 1 species